UACAGAGGUCCCUAGCGUUGUUCGGAUUUACUGGGCGUAAAGGGCGCGUAGGCGGCGAGGCAAGUAGAGUGUGAAAUCUCCGGGCUCAACCCGGAAAGUGCGCUCUAGACUGCGUCGCUCGAGGACGGGAGAGGGAAGGGGAAUAUAGGGUGUAGCGGUGAAAUGCGUUGAUAUCCUAUAGAACACCGGAGGCGAAGGCGCCUUCCUUGAACGUGACUGACGCUGAGGCGCGAAAGUCGGGGGAGCAAAC
rnacentral:rRNA from 1 species